AGAACGAACGCUGGCGGCAUGCCUAACACAUGCAAGUCGAACGAGACCUUCGGGUCUAGUGGCGCACGGGAGCGUAACGCGUGGGAAUCUGCCCUUGGGUUCGGAAUAACAGCGAGAAAUUGCUGCUAAUACCGGAUGAUGACGUAAGUCCAAAGAUUUAUCGCCCAAAGGAUGAGCCGCGUAGGAUUAGCUUGUGGUGAGGUAAGAGCUCACCAAGGCGACGAUCCUUAGCUGGUCUGAGAGGAUGAUCAGCCACGACGUGGGACUGGACGACCGACCGGCCCAGACCUCCGUACGGGAGGCGAGCGAAGGUGGGAAUAGUAGACAAGUGGGACAAAGCCUAG
rnacentral:rRNA from 1 species